rnacentral:lncRNA from 1 species
UCUUUUCAUUUUUUAAAAAAGUAACUGAUUUUAUAUAUGGCUAAUAUUUAUUUUUUUGGACUCAUAUUUUUAUUCUAAUUAGAAUAUUUAUUUUAUUCCAUGUAUUUAUGAGUAAGUGGGGUAAUGGGGGUAAGUAUCGUCUAUUUAGUUUUCUUUAACUUAUUUUUUUUCUUUUUUUUAUUACUAAAUAGUAUAUUUGUGAAUAAGUGGGGGUAAUGGGGUCAUACCAUGUAUUUUACUUUUCUUUAACUUAUUAUUUUUUCUUUUUUACUACUGAAUAUAUGAAACUUUGAAUAUUUAGUAUUUAGUUUUAAAAACAUAAAAUCAAAUCAAACAAAUUAACUUAAAUUAAAACACGAGGAAUAUAUGUUGUUUUUAAAAAAAUUGAGGGCAUGAAUUAUGUUGCACUUUGUUUUAAAGAACAUAUAGAAGUAACUACUGUUGCCCACAAAAAAUAGUAUUUAUCAUUAAAAUAAUAUAAGAGUAUCAUGUGUCAACACCAUAAUUUUUUUCUAUUUUCUGAACAAUCAAAAUUAAUUAUUUGUAAGUAUAAAAUAAUAGAUUACAAUUAUAAAAGCAGAUUUUUUUUUAAUUAUCGUGAAUGCAAUUUUAAAAACUAUAGCAGUUUUAACCGCACGUUUUUACGUCUAUACACAACAAAAAAUGCUCCUUAUUUACAGCAACUAAAAAUAAAUAUAAAUUUUAAUCUCCUUUUUCUCUCUAUUUUAUUAAUAUUAUACUUCUCCAAAAUCAAAAUCAAAAUCAACAUCAAAUUUUCAAUUUCUUGUAUAACUAAAAUUAAUUAUUUGUAAUUAUAUUAUAUAAGUAAAUAAAUAAAUUACAAUUUAAAAAACAAAACAGUUAUUUUGAAACUGUUUUAAAAUUAACAUGGAAACAGUUUUAAAAUUUAUCUAUUUAUAAUUUAAAACAUUUUAAAACAAAUUUUCCUUAUUUAUAGCAACAAAAUACAAGUUCUUAUUUCCUUUUUCACUAUACUAGUAUACGGGAUAUUUUAAAAUGAAUCAUUUUUUAAUUUAACAGUGACUAAUAUGAAUUAUUAUUGAGUGUAUAUAUAUUAUAUAUGUUUUACUUAGUAUUAUUUUCUCUUUUUUUUGGAACAUUGUUUUAAAUAUAAAGAUGCAUAAAAUCAAUUGUAUUUUAAACUAAUAAAAUCUUAUCAUAUUUCUCAUGGAUUAUUAGAAUUUUGUCUGGGCCGUUGAUUUGUCCGCGAAAAACGAGAUGCGACAAAAUGACGACUCCGCUGGGGAUAUUACUUUCUUACCAUUACGUGUUUCAUGCUUAUGUGGGGUUUACUUGGUUAUUUUAUUGUUGUUUGGUUAUUAGCAUGUUAUUAAUUUUCCUUGUCUAUAUGAAAGGAAAGGAAUGCUAGGUAUUUUGAAGGACAGAAAAUCAAUUUUCAGAGGAUUAAAACAAACCCUACUAGUCUUCUAUUUUUUUGGUGUAAACAAGACUUAGUGACGGAUGUUGUAGAAUUAGUUGAUUUCUUAGGAAACUUGUAAUCUAAAUACCAUCAUGGAGGUGUGCUCAUCACACUAUGAAAUAUAAGUUUCCAAUUCAUCAUCUCUUGGAUGAUGAAUCCUUUGUGAAUACAAAGUUACCCUUAUCUCCAAAAAUGCUUAUUGUCUUUUAAGAAUAUAUACUCUAAAACCAAGUAGUAUGUAUAUAAUAUUUUUGUGUUUAAGGUCUCUUAAUGUUAUUCUACGAAAAGGAAAUUGAAAUUUAGAAAGAUUAAUUCUAAUUGAUAGGUAAAAUAGAUCAUCUAUGUUGGUCGGACUCUUCAAAAAUGUCAAUGAGUGCGUGUCAGAUUCUCCAAAAGUACUGUAUUUUUGGAGAAUCCGUCACGGGUGAGGCAUCAAAAGUGAAGAGUCCGUGCAACUAGCAGAUCACAACUCGAUUGAUCAUCCAAAAAGUAUAUUACUAAUAAAUAAAAUAAUCUUAAUGACAAGAUUAAGCUGGAUACCUGUGCAGCAAUGACAUUCGAAUCUCCACCAUCUGAUUCCCCUGUCUUUUCAUAACUUUUGACCAAAUUCUGCCACAAACAUUGGAAAAGAAACGUUUAAACUCACCACGUGUGAAUAAAAGUUAUUUCAUCAUGCCCCUUGGCAGUUUUGCUUUCAAUUUAUAUUAUCUGGUCCUAGCUUGCUCUCUUAGUGAGUCAUCUCCCUAGUGCUUCCUUAGUGAUUCAAACCUAUAACCUUAAGGUAAGGGACUCGAACCUAUAAUCUUAAGGUUGGAGGUAAAAGACGUUUACCAUCUAAGCGAUUCUAGCUCAUUAAAGAUGUAACAAUGGACACAUAACACACAUAGUAACAUAGAUAUACAACCGUACCAUCUCUAUAACAGAAUUGAAAAAACACAAAGCAAAUCGAAUCUAACUUUGAGCAAUUAAAAACCUAGAUUGAACACAUACCUGAAACUCGCCUGUCACAUCCGAUAAUUUUCCGUUUUUAAACAACAAAGUACCAGUAUACCCUACAUAUACACACAAAAGCAUACAUAUUUGAUACAAAUAUCAGAUCAAACCACAAAAUUUACCAUAAUCAAUCACAAAAUUACAACACACUGGUCGUUGAUUAAGUGUAUAUACCUGCUCCGACGAUGAAGACGAUCUUUGUUAAGCCUACUCCAGCGUGCAUAGCCAUGGCUGGCGUUAGUCCGGUGACCAAAAAACCCUAAUUUUUUUGUGUUUUCCGGCCAGGGAUCGAGGGAUAUUGGAGUUGAAUGUUUUGAAAAAGAGAUACAAAUGGCACAGCAUGUAAUCUCUUUUUAUUUAUUGGCAAUAUUUAGCCCUUUUUUAUUUUUAUAACAAAAAAAGCUUUUUUAAAAUUGAAAUUGGCAUAUUUUAUCCCACGUUAUUCUAUGAGAAGUUAUUUGAGUUUAUUGGGUAGUGGGUCAGUUUUUCCUUUUUUUUUUCUCCUCUUUUCCACGUUAAUUUUAGUUAGCUUUUAGUGAUAUUGUAAAUAUUUAACCAUUAUUCUUUCAUUCACUUAUACAAUAGUUGAUGUUACUUUUUAGAAUUCCUUCUGUAAAAAUAUACUAUGUGUCUAUUUUUUCUUCAUCUUUGUAUUUUGUUCUCAACUCUUUUCAUUGUUUUUAAGAUUUAAAGAUUCAGGUUGAUAUAUUUUGGUGAAAAUUUAAGAGAUAGUAAUUGUUUGUGGGUAGCAAUUGUCAUGGUUAAGAAAACAAUUCCUAAAAUUACUCCUAAAAAAGGAGAUUCUUUAUGUUUUGUUGGAUUUUAUUUUCUAAUCAUCAAAUCUAUCCAUUAUCAAAAUAAAAAUCUAGUAUUUAGAGAUUAGUCUCCAUGCUAGCUCGAUCAGUUACAUAAAUUGACUUACUUAUUAAUUUUUUGUUAUCUGACUAUUGAAUGGUAUGAAAAAACAGAAAAUACAUAUAUACAGUAAUGGCCUCAAAUUGAAAAGUACAGUCAGUGCCUGCUCAACGGCUUCAUGGAUCUCCUCUCAGACACAAAUCGCUACCACAACGGACCAAUGUUGCAACAUAUAAAAUGGAUCAAUUACUCAAUUACUGAUUGCGAUUUCUUGAAUAGUUAUUUUCAUGAGAAUAAUGCAAGAAAUGGAGAAGAGAAAAACAAUUUUAAAUUCAUUCCCAUCCAACUCUUUUAACAAAGCAAUGCAUAUAUGUAGUGGCAUGAAAUUUAUAUUACUGUGUGAUGUGCUAAGUAUCAGUUGACAUGUCUUCAAGUAUGCUUUACAUGGCAGAUGCACCAUUUUGGCAUUCCUCUCUGUUUCAAACACAUUUUUUAUGUAUAAAAACAUAAAAGAGAUGCAACAAAAACUCAUAAGAAUGUCAAAUCUAAUGAGAUAGGAGUCACUCGAUCAUGUAUGUAAAGUUAGUUAAAGGGUAGUUACGGAAUUAGGCAAUUAGUUAGUCGAUUAGAAAGAAUAAAACAGUGUAUAUAAAUCACUAAUUCAUUGUAAUUAGUCGGUUAACAAAAACUCUUCUUCUUUCUGAAAUAUAUUUUCUCUCUUCUCUUCUCUCUAAUACAUCUGUAAGAAUCCAUUAAUGGUGUGGUUGAUUUGAGCAAUUGCAUGUAUUCUAACAUGGUAUCAGAGCUAAACACCCAUGUUUGUGAGGUUUAUUGAAGCUGAUUUGGUCAAUUUCGAGCUUAGCUGAGUUUUGCCAAUGGCGAACGCUAAGUUCGAUCACAAUCAUGCUUUGUUUUUACAUCCUUCCGACACUACUGGUACUUCCAUUAUUCCGAUGCAACUAACGGGAUCCGAUAAUUACUCUAUUUGGAGCAGGGCUAUGCGAAUUCAAUUGCUUGGGAAGAACAAGCUUGGAAUUGUCGAUGGCAGCUGGAAAAAAGAGGAUUUCGGUGCAGAGUUAAGUCAUCAAUGGGAGAGGUGUAACGCAAUUGUUUAGGGUUGGAUCAUGAGUUCUGUUACUCAGGAUUUGCACACUGGUAUAGUCUAUGCAACUAGUGCACGAGCAUUUUGGGAAGAUCUCCGGGAGCGUUUUGAUAAGGUAAAUGCUUCGCGGAUCUAUCAAUUGCAUAAGGCAAUUGCUACUACUGUUCAAGGUACAGAUUCAAUUCCUAGUUAUUUCUCUAAACUACGAAACUUGUGGGAUGAAUUCGCUAGUAUAGUGCCUCCAUCUUGUCAGUGCCCUAAUUCUAAGGAAUUUUCUAUGCAUUUGGAGAGGCAAAAAUUGAUGCAGUUUCUAAUGGGGCUAAAUGAGAAUUAUGAUCAGUCACGCAGUCAAAUUUUAAUGGUUGAACCUACACCUACUAUUAACAAAGCAUAUGCCAUGCUUGUUGAGAGGGAGAGCCAGAGAUCGAUUGCAUCCUCUUCACUGAGUUAUGAGGGUACGGAUUUGGCUGCUCUCAUGGCAGGAAAGGGCACACACAGUGAUUUCGGUGCACAAAUAUCAGGGAAGACCAUGCCUCCUCGUUAUAACAAGGGUUCUCCAUCCCCACAGUCUACUUCACAGUAUUACAGUAAAGGAAAGAAAAAUUGGGAUCUGAAAUGUGAUUACUGCAAGAUACAGGGUCAUGUCGAAGACAAUUGUUUCAGACUUCAUGGUUACCCACCUGAUUGGAAAUUCAAGAAGAAGGGAGGUGGCAAUAAUGCCUACAAUGUGCAGGCAGAUAAUUCAUCCUCUACAAGCUCAGGUUUGAGAGACAAAACCAUGGAUCAACUAGUUCCCAAAGAUCUACCACGGGCACCUCAGAUGACUGUUGAUCAGCAUGGUCAAGUAAUGCAGAUGCUUGAUGGUAAUAUUUCUACUGCUCAUGUAAUGGCAAACAUGGCAGGUAUGGUCCAUACUCCUAUGUCUAAAAUUGCAAAUUUGAGAUGGAUAAUUGAUAGUGGUGCAACUAACCACAUGAUCUCUAGUUUAGAUGUAUUACAUGAUGUACAACCUGUUAAGACUACACAAAAUAGGAAAGUACAUUUGCCCAAUGGAGGGAAUACUUUGGUAACUCAUACUGGGAGCUGUAAGUUUGCAGACACAGGAGAAUUACAGGAUGUUUUGUUUGUACCAGAAUUCCACUAUAAUCUUUUAUCUAUAUCAAAAGUUACAAAAGAACUCAAUUGCUUUGUUUCAUUCUAUCCUGGAUUUUGUCUAUUUCAGGACCUUUCCAGUGGGAAACUGACGGGGAUUGGUAAGGAAGAUGAUGGACUGUACUAUCUGGUUCAUUCACAAAAAUCUUCUAUUCAUGACAAGGUUAAGAGUUUUGCUGCACAUGAUGACAGAAAGGAGAUUUUGCUGUGGCAUAGAAGACUUGCCCAUGCUUCAAUAGGAUCUAUGAAAGACUUGUUAGGCUAUAAUGUUGAUGAUUGUAAAAUGGCUUUGAACAAUUGUGAAGUAUGUCCUCUAGCUAGGCACACUAGACUGCCUUUCACUAAUAGUGCCACUAGGUCUUCUAAAGUGUUUGCUUUAUUGCAUUUAGAUGUAUGGGCCCUUAUAAUACUCCAACAUUUGAUGGAAAUAAAUUUUUCCUUACUAUUGUUGAUGAUUUUUCCAGAACCGUAUGGGUUUUCUUGUUAAAAUUCAAGAGUGAUGUAUUGAUGACUCUAAAACAGUUCUUCACAAUGGUUGUCACUCAGCUUAAGACCAAUGUUAAAGGUGUUAGGACAGACAAUGGUGGUGAAUUUGUGAAUGGUUCUCUACAAGAUUUGUUUAAAGAAUUGGGUAUAAUUCAUUAUAGAACAUGUGCUCACACCCCUCAACAAAAUGGGGUGGCUGAAAGGAAGCACAGACACCUUCUUGAAGUUGCUAGGGCUUUAAGGUUUCAGGGCCAUAUUCCUAUCAAGUUCUGGGGCCAUUGUGUUCUUACAGCAGCAUAUAUCAUUAACAGACUUCCUUCUCAGACUUUAAAUGGGAGGUCUCCUUAUGAGGUCUUUUUUGGAAAAAAACCAUGCCUUAGUCAUCUCAGAACACUUGGCUGCUUAUGUUUUGCAAGUACUUUGCCUAGGACUGAUAAGUUUGCCCCUCGAGCAGUUAGGUCAGUGUUUAUGGGUUAUUCUUCUGUCACCAAGGGUUACAUUUGUUUUGAUCUUGCGGAACAAAAGUUCUUUGUGAAUAGAGAUGUCAUUUUUCAUGAAGAUCGUUAUCCUUUUCUUCAUUUAUCUCAAGCUCCUGCUGAUCCUAUUUCACAUAUAUCUUCUUAUUUUCCUGAGUCAUUUCCCCACAAUGAUUUUCUUUCUAACCCUUCUGAUCCAAUUCCUGACUUCUUACCUUCAUCUCCUCCUUCCUUAGAUCCUCCAGUUGAUCAUGUGCCUACUAUACCCACUGUCACUCAUGUUUCUCCUACCUCAUCCAUUCCUCAACUUAGGAGGUCUACUAGGAUUUCUAAGCAACCUCUUUGGUUAUCUGAAUAUGUUUCUAAACCUUCUGCUAGUACAAUUCUGUAUCCUCUUGCAGCUUCUAUAUCUUACAACAAUUUGUCCUCUUCCUACCAGAAAUAUUUGCAAGCUUUUUCUGCUGUCAUUGAACCAUCUUCCUACAAGGAAGCUAUGUCAGAUCCUAGAUGGUUGGAAGCCAUGCAGGCUGAACUGCAGGCUCUACAAGAUAACCACACUUGGGAUUUGGUUCCACUUCCGAAAGGAAAGGUUCCUAUUGGGUGUAGAUGGGUCUAUAAGGUGAAAUUGAAAGCUAAUGGCGAUGUUGAGAGGUUUAAAGCUAGGUUGGUUGCUAAGGGUUACACUCAAAGGGAAGGUCUGGAUUUUCAUGAGACAUUCUCGUCCAGUGGUUAAGAUAGCCACUGUACGGACUGUUACUUCCUUGGCUGCUCAGUGUAACUGGUCUGUGCAUUAGCUGGAUGUUUACAAUGCUUUUUUACAAGGUGAUCUUUAUGAUGAAGUUUAUAUGCAGUUGCCUGAGGGUUUUACAAGCCAGGGGGAGUCUAGACUUGUAUGUAGACUUGUCAAAUCCCUCUAUGGACUCAAACAAGCAAGCAGACAAUGGAAUUUAAAGUUAAGUGAAGCACUACUGGGGUCUGGUUUUAUUCAGAGUAGCUUAGACCAUUCAUUAUAUAUUAAAAGGUCAGGUUCAGAUAUGGUGGUAAUUCUUGUCUAUGUUGAUGAUAUGUUAGUUACCGGAAACAGUCUAACUAUUAUAGAACAUACAAAAGCAACCUUGCAGAAAGCUUUCAAGAUCAAAGAUCUUGGAGAAUUGAAAUUUUUCCUUGGUAUGGAAUUUAGUAGAUCAGCCAAAGGUAUCUUGAUGAAUCAGAGGAAGUAUGCUUUAGAAAUUAUUUCAGAUUUGGGUUUAGGAGGUGCCAAGCCAGCUUGGACUCCACUUGAAGUUAAUAUGCAGUUGACAACUCCAGAAUUGGAUUGCAUUAUUGGAAAAUUAGAUGAUGAGCCUUUUGCAGAUAGAGAACAGUAUCAAAGGUUAAUAGGGAAGAUGUUGUACUUGACCAUGACCAGACCAGACAUUGCUUAUUCAGUUCAAACAUUAAGUCAAUUUUUGCAGCGACCAAAACAAUCACACUGGGAGGCAGCAAUGAGAGUGAUGAGAUACAUUAAAAGAGAGCCAGGACUUGGCAUAUUACUAAGCAGUAACAAGUCUAAUAACCUGAGUGUAUAUUGUGAUGCAGAUUGGGCAGCAUGCCCAAAUACAAGAAGGUCAGUGUCAGGUUAUCUAGUUAAACAUGGUGAUACAUUGCUGUCAUGGAAGUCCAAGAAGCAGAAUGUGGUUUCCAGGAGUUCAGCAGAAUCUGAGUAUAGGAGCAUGGCAAAUGCAGUUUCAAAAUUGGUAUGGAUAAUUGCCUUAUUGAAGGAAUUGGGAAGUGAAGUUGAGCAGCCUGCUAUAGUGUACAGUGACAGCAAAGCAGCCCUGCAAAUAGCAGCCAAUCCUGUGUUUCAUGAGAGGACAAAACACAUAGAGAUCGACUGCCAUUUUAUCAGACAGAAAAUACAAACAUGAAUGAUGAGGACAGAGCAUGUGAGUUCAAAAGAACAACUUGCAGACAUACUAACUAAGGGGCUGCCUAGAUCACAACAUGAAGUUUUAGUGAGCAAGCUUGGUGUGUUGAAUGUGUUUGCACCCACCAGCUUGAGGGGGAGUAAUGAGAUAGGAGUCACUUGAUCAUGUAUGUAAAAUUAGUUAAAGGGUAGUUACGGAAUUAGGCAAUUAGUUAGUCGGUUAGAAAGAAUAAAACAGUGUAUAUAAAUCACUGAUUCAUUGUAAUUAGUCGGUUAACAAAAGCUCUUCUUCUUUCUGAAAUAUAUCUUCUCUCUUCUCUUCUCUCUAAUACAUCUGUAAGAAUCCAUUAAUGGUGUGGUUGAUUUGAGCAAUUGCAUGUAUUCUAACAAAAUCCACAUAGGUGAAUAGUUGAAAUGAGAAAUCCUAAUCUAAUAAAAAACAAUUACCAGGAUUAACAACUAUUGAAAUGCAUUUCUGAGUACAUAUAAAAGAAUGGUAUACAUAGACUUUGUUGAUCAGACAAAAUAAAGAUUCUGAUUUUUAUUAUAAGAAAAACCCAAUUAUAUUCACAAGGAAAGAGAUAUACACAAUUUUCAAAAUCUACUAUUCUGAAAUGGAUUAGGAUUUUAAGGGGGGAAAAGUUGUAAGUAACUGUAGAGUAGCAGAAAAAAUUAGCGAGAAAUUUUAAUGAUGAACAAAACGGAAUGGAAUUGGAGUUGUCGAAUUUAGUAAUUCAACUUCAAAUUUCAAUUAGAUUAAUUUAAUUCUUGAACUAUUCCAUAUAUGUAGCAAUGACCAUGAAACUAAAGUGACGAAGCAUCACAAAUCGCAAAGAAAUCAAAAUUCAUACAAAUAACAAAAAAGAGAGUACAUUACUGAAUCUAUGAGCUUCAAAGGAGAAGAAAAAGAAAAUCGUGAAUCAGUGAAUGUCUAUCAACAACAAAUAUCUCAUCAAUCAACAACAAACAUCUUAUCAGUGACUAUAAUAAUGUACAUGACAUCAAUGAAUUCAUAAAAUAUUCUAAAGAAAUAGAUACACAUUAUAUAUAAUUACUAUAUGUAACUUCUAUUUUUCUUUAGGCAUGUUCUGAUGUUAUGCCCUUCUUGUCCACAUUUUCCGCAUGAAGUUUUAUAUGUUUUUUUUGUUGAUUUCCAAGCUUUUUCUUGUCUCUUUUUUUUGGGUCUUCCUGGCACUUUGUUACCUAUUGGAUGCAAUAAAAUUUCUUCAGCCACUUCUUGGGGUAAGUCCUUUUUUAUGUAAUACUGCUAAAGCAUGUGGACAUGGAAGUUCAUCGAGUUGAAAUUGUUGACAUGUACAUAUUUUUGCUUUUAUACAAACGAUGAAAAUUUUCCCCAUAUGUGUGACGGUAUGUAGGUAAUCACUUGAAGGUCGCACCUAUUGAGGAUAAUUAAUAUGAUUAGUAUAAAUAUUUAUGGUGUGCAAUUUAUAUUUAGAAAACUUAAUAUGAUUAGUAUAAGUAAUAGAACUUACCAUCAUAUGUAGUGCAAUUUCCAGGUUAUCAACAAUAAUUGAUUCAUAUUUUGCUGUAAGUUUAGUAUUUGUAUACAGAGCUUCUUUUGACUUGUCAUAGUUCCAUUUCUCAAUUAAUUUACGCAUCUCUUCAAGUAGCCUUGUUACUGGGAGAUCUCGUGCGUCUUUUGUUGCUGAGUUAAGCGACUCUGCUAUGUUGGAUGUCAUGGUCAUAGUUCUAUUACUUGUGGAAUGUGCCCUUGACCAUUUACUAUAGCCAAUUUCAUACAGGUAAGUCUUCACUCGAUGAUCAAUUCGAUUAACUUCAGCCAUAUAGUAAUCAAAAUCUUGCAUAGUGUAUGCGCGAGCCAUUGCAUAAUAUAUUUCCCUUAAUUGUAAUUGGUUUCUCCUGAAAUUUUCUUUGAUGUUUUUCCACAGAUGCCACAUACAUGCGUAAUGUGGUAAAUCUGGAAAUAUAACCGAUAUAGCUCUAAUUAUGUUUUGAUGCCUAUCUGAUACAAAACACAUUUUAUGUUUUCAUGCCUUCUUCUUCUUGGACUUGAGCAUGACAUAUCCAAUAAACACGCUCAAGAAGCAGAUGAGUGCCACUGCAGCAUAUACAGGAAUGAGAAUAGCAUAUUCUUGUGGUAGAAAAUACUUGUGCACGAAAUGAUCGCUAUCAACAAGAGGCUGAAAGAACAAAACAACAUUUGCACAUCAAUCUCCAGAUAAAACUUAGGUUGCAAGGGUCUGCUAUGUUGCUCGGACUCUCCAAUAAUGUUGCCACACCCGUGGUCAGAUCCUUCAAAAACGUACCGCUUUUGAAGGAUCCAACAUGCACCUAGCGACAUUUUUGAAGAGUCCGAACAACAUACAAGGUCAGUACAGAAUGGGAUGGAAGAGAAUAUGAGCUGACCAGAAUGAUAACCCAGAAGGUAUAAUAUGUAAAAUGGACAAACUAGUCAAUGUUAAAAUGAGCCCAACAGCUCUGUCAGCCAACUCCAUCGAGACUCCUCUUCUUGUGCCGCCUGUAAAAGAAGAAUGUUUCAGUUAAGAACUUGUGUACCUUACAAGUUACAAGAAGAGGAUCAAAACAAAAAAAAUUGGCCUGGUCACAGGUUUGCCGGUACCAUACAAGGUUCAAGGGACUAAAAGGAGAGAAGACAAAACAAAAACGGAUGAAAGUGGAACACAGUCCGGAAGGAGACCUUAUCUCCUAAAGAGGUUGUUCCCGAUAGAAUCUCAGCUCAAGGAGAGAUGAAAAAGAAGCAGUAAUAACAGAGAGUAGCAUCAGCAACAUAAUAAGAUAAACGAUGCCACAGAAACAUGUGUUGUGUUUAGUACAUGUCUUCCAACAUGUGACCAUUGUGAAGGAACGUGUUGCAUACAAUAUCUACCCAAUCAUUCAUCCAUAUGUCUUGACAAGAAAAAAUUCAGAAAGAUACAUGAGCAGUUCUCUCAAGUCUCAAUGUACUCUUGUUGCACUAUCCUGAGUCCUGACCACAAAAUGAUACAACUUCUCCUUCUCAAGAUGUCGAUAACGAUGCUUUUAACUAUGACAACAACCCGAAGAAAGACAAGGUAAUAAACACGUCUACCUAAAAAGAACUCUAGGUUAUGAGUCCCAAAAUGAAGUCAUAUGAUAGGGGAGUAAGCUUGGCAACAUAUUAAUAGGCCCUAAUUCUACAGGAAAACUCAUUUGUUAAGGACACAAAAUUACAAUUUAUAUAUAUUUAACUUAGUUUCACUAUUAUCUUAUUUGGUAUGAUGAUGACAUGAGGUGAGCUUAAAAGGAGAAAAAAGGAUUUAUAUAGCUGACCCAAACUUGUUUGGAACUAAGGCAUAGUUGUUGUAAGGACACAAUAUUACAAAUUAACACAAGGUUGCUCAUUAGAGUUAAUCUAUAUCACAGAUCUAAUAAGACUGACUCUUAGAAUUUCCAUCGUCAAUGAGAACUAAAUUUUGCAAGGCCCCAUAUUUGCCAAGAAAGAGAAGCUAUGUCCUCACACUCCCAAACAGCAGACAGCACACGAGAAUCAUACUUUAAAAAAUGCUUAAGUUAGUCAAGUUGGAGAACAAGAAAAGUAUUUUUCUAAGAACUAAAUUACUACUCCAGCAAACUAUCACCGGGACUCUAAUUUCCUAAUAGAAAAUGAGUUAAAUCUUGAACUUCCUAGUCAUUAGUGGAAUUACACUGUCGAAAGGGGUUAAAACUAAGCUAUAAUGGUGAACACUAGACCAUUGGUAGAGCUAAUACUUAGACUUGUUAAAGCUGAGGUGAAUCUUCGGAACAUACCUACCACAGUCGAGGAUCCUAUCCAUAGUAAACAGUACAUGAAGGAACACCAACUCUUAAAGGAAGGACAUAGUCUCACCAUUCAAAGAGUAUAACAUAUCUUUCAGACAAGUAACUAAGUCCAUCCUAAUUAGGCCUUCCAUUUUACUAUCCAUUUCAUCAUAAAAUUACCAAUCCUCUAUUUAUCGAAAGGAAAAAAUUACCAACCUUCAGUGAGCUAUAUGAUUCCAUUUCUUUUUCUCUAAAAAGGAGAACACUAAAACGACACAGAAUCAUAAGUUCUCGUGGUGUUACGAAUGAAUAAUAAACUAAUGAUUAAAAAAACAUGGGAAAAGAUAAAACUGUUCAUCAAUUACACAAAGACAAACACCAAACACCUUUAGUCACAGAUUAUUUAAUUGCAAAAUUAUAAAAAAGAAAAAAAAAAUCACCCCCAUAUCUCAAUUUCUAAGCAACUCCACCAGAAACGGUAGGUAUAUCCAUUUCGAUAACCAAUAUCUUUCACCUCUUAGUAAAAGUUUCUAAGAAUUGCUAUUCAGACUAAAAUAAAAAGAAAAGCAGCAACAAAGUAAAAACUCUCCAUAUUUCGCAACUCAUUCCCAUAACAUAUUACCAGAUACCCCUUCAUUUCAAUUUGUUUGACUUACAUUCCUUUUUAGUUUGUUUAAAAAAGAAUGCUUCUUUCCUUUUUCCACAACUUUCUUAUUUUAACUUUCCACAUAGCAUGUUUAAGACCAUAAGAUUAAAAAGCAUUUUGAUACAUUCUACGUUUUUUUUUAGAUUAAGACAUAAUAGUCAAAAGUCUUUUUACUUUCUUAAACUUCGUGUCAAGUCAAAACCAGACAAAUAAAUUGAAACAAAGGGAAUAAGUUUUUUGUUUCCUCCACUUUUAGGUCUGUUAGUUAUCACUGAACUUCCAACAAGGUUCAUACAACAAAGACCUUUAGACAUGAUUUGACUCCCAAAGCUAAAAACUUUAUACCAGAAAAAGGCUAGAGUUGCAAGAAAAAUACUACCACCCACCCGAGCCCUUGGCACCAGGGUCAGGAUUGAUCUCAAAACUGAUAAGCCCCUUCGUAUUCCAACAACAAACUAUGCCUCAGUCCCAAACAAGUUGUCGUCAACUAUAUCAAUCCCCACUUUCAUUUAGGCUCAUUUUAUAUGAAUUCAACCAACAACAACAUAUCCGGUGUAAUCCUACAAGUUGAAGUCUAGGGAGUGUAGUGUAUUAUGUACGUGGCCUUACCCCUAACUCAUGCUUGAAUGUCAAUUACCCUUUUCAGAAACUAUGGAACAUAAAUCCAUAAUCCUUAAGAAAUUAGUUUUCAAAAAAGCUCAAGAUUCACAAGUUAUGUCCAGAAAGGCUACAGGAUCACAAAAAAAUGGACAUUUUGAUGGAUCACUCAAUCAAUCAAUCAACUAAAAACUUAAUAAAAUUGGCAAUAUGAGUGGGAAAUGGAAAAAAUUAUAAAUUUUUUUGCAUAAAUUCAGCAAAAAUAUUGAGACCCCAUUAAAGUAAGAGAAACAACAAACUUAGAUCACCUGAAAAGUUCGGUUCUUGGUGUUGAAGAUUUCUGCUUUCAGAGCAUGAAGAUCGCCAUUUUCAAAGAAAAUGAACUUUGAUUGAUUUUCAAUUUAGGGUGUGUUUGGUAUGAAGGAAAAUGUUUUCCUGGAAAAUGUUUUCUUGGAAAACAAGUUGAUUUUUAACUUGUUUUCUUAUGUUUGGUUAGUGAGUGGAAAACAUUUUCUGGAAAACAAUUUCUAGUGUUUGGUUGGUGAGUAAGGAAUUUUUUUAGGAAAAUAAUUUUCUAUGCUCUUUCACCCCCAACCCGGACUUAAUCAUAUAUUUUAUGGAUUAGAUAAACUAUUUUCGAUAGAACCACAUUUAGUUUUAAAAAGUCACGCGUAACAUUCUAAAAUAACAGUUAUAUUACAUGAUGAAAUGCAAAAACAACCAUUUUAGGAUUGUAAAGAUCACAAAUUUACU